UCCCUGGUGGUCCAAUGGCUAAGAUUCCUUGCUCCCAGUGCAGGGGGCCCAGGUUCAAUCCCUGGUUGGGGAA
rnacentral:tRNA from 1 species